rnacentral:lncRNA from 1 species
CAUGUUCUUGGCAACCACCUUGGUAGUUUGACACAUAGUAGGGGCUUAGUAAAACUGAAUGCCUCCAGGCUAGGACACAGCUAUUAGCCACCUGGCUGCAAAGAAAAGACAGGAAGUGCACAUUGGAGACUGUUGGCAACAUAUUUAGAAGGCAAUCUACAACAAUCCCUUCUCUGCAAAGGGGUUAUUCAAAAGUCAGACCUCUGUUGGCGGUGAUAUCUACAAAAAGGGAAAUUAUCAAAGGACACAGAAAAAGCAUCAAAGUAAGCAUCCCAAGUGCAGAUGCGAGGUAUUGCUUAAAAAUCAAGAUCCCAAGUAGAAUUUUCGGAGAGGAUUCCUAUCCGUUUUGCAUUCCUAAUGCAUUUUACACUUUCAAAUUUUACAUCAAUGAAUGGUGGUGGGAACACAUAGAAGGUAUAGAGUUCUGUCGAUGUUAUUAAAAGGAAUGAGUCUAAAUUAGGAUUUAGUAGUGGCAUCUAAAUGAAGAAAAUAACACCCAAUAACAGAUUACUGUCUGAAAAAGGCAGAGUUAAUUAGCAUAGCAUAAUUUAAGAAAAAUAUAUUUUUUUUAAACAGAGCAGGGAGUCUAUAGAAUUUUGAAAGUGAAUUCGUAUUAAUAUCUUACAUUUGUCUCAUCUUAGGCAAGCUGUGAAAUUGUGGCCUACGCACCGAAUCAAGAGCUGGAAGAAAUCUUUGCACUUUCUACCUGGGGGGCUUUGGGAUCAAGCAGAUUCUUCUCUGAGCCCCAGUUUAUCUGUAAAAUGAGUAUAGCAGUACCUACCUCACUGGGAUGGAAAGAUGAGUAACUCCAACAAUAAUUUAUAAGUUCUAAAGCCGUGUAAACCUAAGGUACUGCUCUUUUGUCUCACUGCUAUUCUGAGCUGCCUUCUUUUUUGGUCUUGCGUUUCUGCUUCAGAAUGGAUUUUUGGUACAAGUCCAUUUUAUCGCGAGCAGUAUAGCACUAUUCCUGCCCUUGAAUUCGGGUUGCUUGAGGUAACCCCUUUCAAUGAUUAAGUUGAUUCUUUUUUCCUUGGCCUCUUUCCCUUCACAAACACGGACUGUGCACUGAAAAUGAGCUGGAGGGUGACAUUAAGGGGCCCUGGAUACCAUGGGAGCUUAGGGAGCUUGUCCUAGAACUGGAAAUGCCUGAGCUGGGUUCUCAGCUCAAUGGGAGACAGGAGACGGGAGAGGGAGGAGAGCUGCCACAAGGGGGAGAAGGGGCCCAGGAGGCAGGGGACAGCGUGGGAUUGUCACACAGUAAAGAGUGAAGGGAGAGCUAAGAGACACUGGAGCACAAGGCCCUGCAGGCCUUCUACAGUUUUCCGUCAUGAAUUUAUUGUUCUUCUUAGCUUGCACACCUGUCUUCUUUUAUAAAACUGGAUGCCCCUUGAAAGCAAGGGCUUCGGGAGUGCCUGGGUGGCUCAGUCGGUUAAACGUCUGACGGUUUGUGAGUUCAAGCCUGGCAUCCGGAUCAGUGCUGGGAGCCUGGAACCUGCUUGGGAGUCUGUGUCUCCCUCUCUCUCUGCCCCUCCCCCGCUUUUGCUCUGUCUCUGUCUCUCAAAAAUAAAUAUUUUUUAAAAAUUUAAAAAAAGAAAAAGGAAGAAGGCAAGGGCUGUGCUUGGGCUUCCCCCUGCCCCCCCGAAACAUGAGAAGAAUUCACUGGAGUUAAGUUAAAGCAACAGGGUGAAGAGAUCAGAUCAGAAGUUUACAUAAAUCCUGAAGAGGAGGGAAGAUUAUCCAUAUCACCUAUCCAGAAUAAGUUCAUCAUUCGGAAAUUAAGACAUCCAGGUUACUAAUACGCCUUUUACAGAGUUUCAAAUUGAUCUAAAACAAUAUUAUAUUGAAUGGGUUAAAUGUUACACGGUUGUUUCCAAUUCAAAUUAUUAUAAUGAAUUUCUUUCUGUGCACGCAUGAGCACACACACACACACACAGAGGAACCUGCUGUUAAAGCAGCGGAGAGACGGGUGGGUGGCAGAGGGAGGGGACAGCAAGUAUAGAACACCCAGCUUUGGGCUGUGAAGGAGAAGGAAGUCUCCAGCUGGAGGAGAGGGAGUGUGUCAGGUGGACAGUUAACGUUCCAACGAGAGAUGAGUAACCAAGUUCACGGGCCGUGGGUAAGAAGCAGGGAGAGAGAUGGCACUUGCCGCUGUGGAGAGAGCGCAUGGGGCUCAGACCUGGAGAAGAUGUCUAUGCCCCUCCUCGGACUGAGCGUGCCCACCUACAGCUGGGCAUCUUGCGAGAACACGGAUUCUGAGUAAGUCAGUCGGGCGGGGCCUGAGGUUCUGCUUUUCUAACAAGACCCCCGGAUGAUUCAUAAAGUUUGAGAUGGGCAGAGCUAGAGCCGAGUCCUAAACCCAGCAGACUCUGCAUCACCCAGGAGCUUGUUAGAAACGCAGACCAGGGCGCCGGGGUGGCUCAGUUGGUUAAGCUUCCUUCCGACUCUUGGUUUCAGCUCAGGUCAUGAUCUCACGGGUCUGUGAGACAGAGCCCCGAGUUGGGCUCCAUGCUCAUAGUUUGGAGCCUGCUUGGGAUUCUCUCCCUCUCCCCUUGCCCCUCGCUCCCCCACCCCCCACAAGCAUCAGCGUGUCCAGUGCACAUGAGCUUCUCUCUCUCUCUCUCAAAAUAAAUACAUAAACUGAAAAAAAAAGAAAUUAAAACAUGUAGACCUCCUGAAUGAGUCCACAGCUUGACAAGACCUCCAAGAGAUUCCCAGGCACAUUCAAGUUUGAGAAGCUCUGCUCCAGGAAACGUGACAGCGGUCACAGUGGUGUCUCCUGAACAAGACAGACGAUGGGAAAUAGUUGAUGGGAGAAUUCAAAGAGCAAGCCAGCAAAGGAUGUGUAAAAGGUUUGACAGGGGGCUGCUUCCAAAAGCCCAGGAGAGGUCACAGAUGAUCUCCAGUGUUACCCAAGUACUUUGGAUAUGGAUACACUGAGUGAAGUUCCUCGCCCGGGUUGAUAUAUUUGGGCAAAACUCUUUCUGUUAUGUAGUUUGCAAUGCUUUUAGUCAAGGGUCUUCAUGUUAAAAAAAAGAAAGAAGAAAAGAGACUAAAGUGGCUGAGUAGCUCAGUGGGUUAAAUGUUUGACUCUUGAUUUCAGCUCAGGUCAUGAUCUCAUGGUUCAUGAGUUUGAGCCCCGAGUUGGGCUCUGCACUGACAGCCUACUUGGGAUUCUCUCUCUCCCUCUCUCUCUCUCUCUCUCUCUCUCUCUCUGCCCCUCCUUCACUUGUGCUCUCUCUCUCUCUCAAAAUAAGUAAGUAAACUUUAAAAAAAAAAAAAGAAUAUUGCUUUUGCUCCUUUGUUUUAGCUUAUCGAUUAACUCAUAAAACAUUUUCUCAAUGUCUGUGAUGGAGUCUAUAUGACUCAGGUUCUCAAAAGAAAAAAACCAAUAGAAUGUGUGUGUGUGUGUGCACGCGCACGUGUGGAUAGAGAAAGAGAUUUAUUUUAAGGAAUUGGCUCACAGAGCUGUGCAGCCUAACAAGUCCAAAAUCUGCAAAGGAAGCUGGCAGGUGGGUGGCCCAGGGCAGAGCCCAUGUUGCCAUUCAAGUUUGAAGGCCACCUGUGCAGACCCCUCUCUUGCUCAAGGGAGGUCAGUCUUUUGUUCCACUCAGGACUUCCACUGAUGGGAGAGCCCCACUGACAUUGUAGAGGGCAUUCUGCUUUACUUAAAGUCCACCGAUUUCAAUGUUGGUCUCAUCAAAAAUACUUAACUAGAAAUAUCCAGAAUAAUGUUCAGACCAAAUAUCUGGACACCAUGGCCCAGCCAAAUUGACACAUAAAAUUAGCCCUCACUGACCUAGAUCUUUCUGACGUCUACUUAAUUCAUAUCUGUCACUCAGAGGGGGUGUUGUUAAGCGGUCGAGAAUGAUAGCUAUCACUUUAUUGAAAGAUCCAGAAAAGAAAAUUCUAUAAUGUUCUCGAUUUUAUUAAGACAGUCCAACCUAAGGGAGCAGAUUCUAAACUCUGCUUCUAAUGUGCCACUCAACAAACUUACUGACAUUUUAUUCACAUAGAGCCAGAGCAGCGAUUUCAGACUGUUGAUUCUAUCAAAACCUUGUCAGUCCAGUGUGGACGUCACCUCCCUCCUGGGCCAGCUCUGCUGUCCCUGAUUCUUGUGUUUUCCUCUCCUCUGAACUCUGAAGAGGUUAAGUGGGCCAGGCCAGUCAUUGGGUAAUUACUAAUGCUCCACACUGUCAGUCCUUUCAAGUGUAUUCAAGUAGUGAAUAUCAAGUGUGAACACUCCUUUUAAAUCUGUUAUACCAGCAUUUACCCAUCCAAAUGAAUGUUCUCUUCUUCAAAGUAAUAAUUCAUUCUAAUGACACUGCCAUUGCUUAAAGCAUUUUUGAAAUUCUUUAGAAACUCCCUUCAGAACUAGAUGCAAUAUUCUUUUGAAUUUCUUAAAUAGGGGCAUAACUUGGCUCUUUGAAGAUAGAUUGGGAUUUGAAACAGUAAAAAGACAUCCACAUUUGAGCUGAUAAUUAAGGUAGGCAAUCAAGUUGGGCAAUAUUAUCCUUUAGCCAAAAAUCAACUAUAACCAUGAGGUAAUGAGAAAAAAAACCUCCCUCCUUCUGUAGAUAAUGUCUGGAUUUGCAUUCUUGUUGGAAUAAAUUAAUAGCCUCCAAGGUGACUCUUGUUCUGAGAGCUUCAACAAAUCAAUCACUUGGAUAAAUCAAUCCUCACAUAUUUAUUUUAAAACUCGAUUUUACAGUUUUAUGUCAUUAGUUUCACUCCGGAAACUGGAUUCUAAGUGUUUUAGACAUUCCCUUUUUUGAACGUCUCUCAUAGCACUCAUUUUAUUAUUCUUCUUAGUUUGCACACCUAUCUUUUUAAAAAAAUUUUUGUUUUUUUAAUUUUAUUUUUGAGAGAGAGAGAGAGAGGGAGGGAGGGAGGGGCAGAGAGAGGGAGACACAGAAUCCGAACCAGGCUGCAGGCUCUGAGCUGUCAGCACAGAGCCUGAUGAGGGGCUCUAACCCAUGAACUGUGAGAUCAUGACCUGAGCCGAAGUCAGACGUUUAAUCCACUGAGCCACCCAAGCGCCCCACACACCUGUCUUCUUUUAUAAGACUGGACGCUCCUUGAAAGCAAGGGCUGAACUUUAUAUACCAGCACCCACCUCAGUGCACCGCAGAGUAGGCACUCGAUCAUAUGUGUUGCAUGCAUGAACUGAAUGAAUGGAUGACUGAAUGAAUGGAUGAAUUGCUUAGGUCGUUGUUGCCCUAUAGACUAGGAUCGAUCUUAAACUGUUAAAAUAUCUGAAUAAGGCUGCACUUAUACCCAGAUUGAAGCCUCUUUUGCCCAGAAAGAUCUGUUCCAAUACACUUUUCACCAAUUUAAAGGCUGCCCGACAUUACUUCGUUGUGACAUUUGCUAAUAAAUACAUUAGCACAGUGUAUAUCCCCUUAGAAGCAGUUCAUGAAACUUUGCUGAGCGAAUAAGGACCGAGUGAAUGCAUCCAAUAAAAACCGCUUUUAAUUCAAUGAAAACACUGUUUUUAAUUAUAAAAGAAAUCUUCCAGAUUUCUAGUCCAUUCCUGGAGUGAUUACUGAUGGUUUUUCUCAAUUCAGCUACUUUAAAAAAAAAAUCUUUGUCAAUUUUUGUGAAUAGAGUUUCUAUUUCCUUCAGGAAACAUUUAAUACUUGAGAUCUGCCUAAGGUUUGUUUGCACUGACACUUAUUUUACUGUGAACACUCUUCAUCUUGUACUGAGUUGAAUAACAAAUGUUUAGCCUCUUCUGUUAUUAAGGAACAUUUUUUCUUUUCUGGAAGAUCGGUUAUCAAAUUGUUUCUAUUCUCCAAAUACUUCAUAGACCUGUUCCUCAAAAAGCUCUUCUUGAGAAAGUAGCUGUGAAAACCACAAUUCUUAUUGUAAUUUGGUAAGUUACAAGGCAAAUCUACCACCUGCAAAGCAUGAUGGAAAUAUCACACACACACACACACACACACACACACACACACGGUCACAAAUUUAAUCGAUUCCAUGUUGAAUGCUAAGAAAAGUUUUAAUUGUACAGAGUACCCAACAUAUCAAAUAUAAAUGAAGGGACAAUCAGGAGCGCUAUCAAAAUGUAUAAUACAGGAAGUUGUUUAAAAAGAAUAGAAAAAUUAUACUAAGGACCCAUAAAUCUUCCUCUUUAUAAGCAUAUGUAGCGAUUCCUUCAAUGCAGGUUUUAUAUGUAAAUAGGAAUUUUUUUCUUUUUGAAGAACUCCAUUGUAGCUAUGAGAUGAAAAAUGUACUGAUGUAACAACGUAUUAUGGUAAUGUUAUAGCUUCCUUCUUUUUUGCUUUUAGUGUUAGGAUUGCUAAAAGCUUAUUUAAAACACCCAACUGACAUAACCUGCUUUCACCAGAGGACACUGCCAAGUACGUUAUCCUUCCCCCGUCACUAUUUGGUUCCCCGUUAUCCGGCCUCUUUCUACACAGGUCAUUUUGAUGAGAGAGAGAGGCCAAGGGAGCUCAAGUUUCAGGCAGCGGGUGGCAGGUUACCGUCCUCUCGACCUGGCCAAUCCUCCAGUGACCCCUCCCCAGAAUGUUUCUCCUAAGGAUGGGAAACAUACUUGUCUUCCAGUGAAAGGUGUCCUAGGCUUUUUGUCCAGCCACGUUUGCAAGAAAAUAGCACUGCUAACCAUCCACUUGCUGGGGUUGGGUUCAGACAAGGAGGAGAUCCCGAGCAGAGGACCGCUGAUUUAUGCAGUAUCCACAGUCAACGCCCAAGUCAGACUGGCCCCUCAAAGGCUGCCUGGGGAGCUCCCAGGAUGCUGGGGUUCUAAGCAAAGCAUUCAGGGUGCUCCCUCUGCCUCUUUGGAGAAGUGUUCAAAGGGGAAGAUACCCCUCUGGGCCACUGGGCCAAAGCCCGCCCUUCCUGGAGUCAGCUGCAUCGGGCUGGCCAGGGCAUCCCCAGGGAAACGGAAGACAGGAGCCUCCCGAGGGAGCACAGGGACGGACAAGCAGGGGGAAGUGCCCGCCUCCCACCACCUCUUGCCUCCCCCCAGCCUUCUGUCUUGGCACAGGCCUGGCAGGUAGCAGGGACCACAAAGUGUUCAAUCAAUCAGAUAAAUUGAUUGGGUGUCUCUUCCGAUUCCAGAACACUUGGAAAUGGCAAUUCUGCCAGAAGAACCUCCGUCAGAGAUGAUCUGGGUGACAGACUGCAGUUGAAAACGUCAUCUAUUGAACCUGAGAAAAGUAACAAGGCACGUUAUUAUCGUCACUGGAAAAACAAAGCCAAAAACCCAACAGUGCCUUAAAACCCAUACAACAUACAAUGUAACCAUUUCAAUAAUUAGUAGAGAACCUUGACUUCCUCAGAAGAACUCAAAAACCCAAGCAGCUUUUUAUGGUUGUUUGUCUACCAGUAGGAUAUGGAUCAUUUGCUUUUCCAAGGGCCGGAGUAGAUGUGCAGAGUUUUCCCACUUGUGACAAAAGGCCCCCAGUUGGCGAAUAGAUGCCUAGGACAAAGGUCAGUUUUUGCAAAGGCGAGAAGGGGAUGGCACUAGGUUGAUUCACCAGGGCAGAGCCAGUAGAGGCCAGGCUGGCCUGCCUGCAGGGGGUUGCAGGCAGCUGAUGCAUCUCUGGCUGUGUGACCUGCGACCUGCGGUGCAUAAUGAUGGCUCAGGCCUCAGGCGGGGCUCCAAGAGUCCCUCCCCACAGCUCUGUCCUGGAAGUGGCCCCAGCUGGACUCCUAGUCAACUUGCAAGGAGGCACUGGCCAACUUCACAAGCCCCUUGGUGUCCCCUGGAUGGCAAUGGUCAUCCCAGGCAGCCGCACUCACGGGAGCCAAGGCCAGUGGGUGGGGCUGGAGAGAUGUCACAGGAGGGACCAGGCACCUGGGACUGCAGCCACCACUGGGCAAGUUAAUCCCUCCCCCCAAGAAUCCGUGUAUGAUCCCCCACAGGGCUGCAAUGGAGCGAAGCACAAAGUGAUUUUGUAAGGAACACCCAGAUAGAGAAAGCUAAAGCAAUGUGGAGGGAGGGAGGGAGUUAGGGGGAGAAAGAGAGGGAAAGGGAGAAAGGUGGGGGAGGAGAAAGGGAGGAGGAAGAGGGAGAGAGAGAUCAGGGCUGGGGGAAGCAAGGAAAGAGGAAGGAGGAGGAGGAGAGUGAGAGACAGAGAGAGAGAGAGAACGUGCGUGCGUGCACACACACACACACACAAACACACGCACACACGGGAGGGGAGGGGCUAUCUCCAAGACAAGAAAUCCUCAGAAGUAAGCAUUUUUGCUAUAAACAUCGGAAGAAAGCAACCCUCGUUAAACAUAAUUGAGACUCUUGUUUUUUUAUAUCUGAGUAUUUUUUAACCUGCAGGUUCAUAGAGAUUGGUGUUUUUUCGUGUGUUUGUGUUCGGGCUCUUUCUUCUUGCAAUUAGCAGCAAGAGUCCUGGUUCGAGGAAGUUGCCUUCGGGCCCAGACUCACGUGGGACAGGAGAAUGGGCUCAGCGGAAGACAAACCCAGACGAGACUGGACGGAUGUCCUCUGCCUAAGCCACAACCAGACUGAAAAGUCGCACCAGCUCCUGAGGGGGAAGCACUGGAUACUAGGAUCUAGAGUAAAAUCUGGUAGGCGAAGCCUUCUCCAAAGCUAUUCUUUCGUGGUCUUACAAACCCUUUCAAAAGUUUUUAAAGCUACAUAUCGCCCACGGUUAGUCUUCCCCCAGCUGCUCCUGGUUGUUAACAUUCUGUUGCCUUGAAUAUGCACAUCAGGAAAGCAUCACGCUUUCAUAACAGUUAAAUUGUUGUUAAUAUUUAAAUGAGCAGUAAGAUGGACUUACAUGAACAAUGUAUUUAAAAAUUGUAUUCUGGGGGCGCCUGGGUGGCUCAGUCGGUUGAGCGUCCGACUUCGGCUCAGGUCAUGAUCCCGUGGUCCGUGAGUUCAAGCCCCGCGUCGGGCUCCGUGCUGACGGCUCAGAGCCUGGAGCCUGUUUUAGAUUCUGUGUCUCCCUCUCUCUCUGACCCUCCCCCGUUCAUGCUCUGUCUCUCUCUGUCUCAAAAAUAAAUAAACGUUAAAAAAAAAUUUUUUUUUAAAUAAAAAUUGUAUUCUGGACAUGCUGCACACUAUAACUGCUACGUCAGAAAACGUUAAGGAGCCUAAGAAGAGCCACCGCAUUUUUUUCUUGGUAGUAAACAUUUCUCACUUCUUACUUUCUGAAGUCCGUGAUGUUAUAUUUCCCUUUUAUCAAGAGGCCGUUUUCUUUCUUCCUUUUUUUAAAUGUUUAUUUAUCUUUUGAGAGAGAGAGAGAGACAGAGACAAUGCACAAGGGAGAAGGGGCAGAGAGGGAGACACAGAAUUCAAAGCAGGCUCCAGGCUCCGAGCUGUCAGCACAGAGCCCAACGCGGGGCUCGAACCCACGAACCAGGAGAUCAUGACCUGAGCUGAAGUCCAACUAUUAACCGACUCAGCUGCCCAAGAGCCCCGAGGCCUUUUUUUUUUUUCAAUUAAUUGUCCACUCCCGUGAUAUUAUUCUACCCUCUUAUUUAGCUUCCUCAGGUACUUGAGAAUUUGUAACAUACCUCUGGAAGUUACACUGAAUUUUCGGUCAGAGAAACUGCUCCUUCGGAUUAAAGGUUCACUCAUUUUUUCCAGAAAUAAUUUAAUUGUCUCCUUCUUUUCUGGACUUGUGCUUGACAAAUUCAGAACUUUUCCUUCUACCUUUACAGUAGAAUUGCUGAGCCCAAACCAAUAGAAGAAAUCAAAUAAUGCAUCAGCUUUGAAUUCAUACGCAAAGCUCAAAUGUUCUCCAUUAACCACCUUGUUUCCUGGAGGGAAAAAAUUUUGUACCGCCUCUUGAAAAUCAAACUGAAAGAGAGAGAGAAGCGUUUAAUUAAUGUCAUGGCUAUAAUGUUAUAUUACAGAACCAUAUAUUACUAUAGAAUUCUAUUAUUGAACUAACGACUGCCCAAAUAUCCAAAGUAUCACCUAUCUUCUUUCUUUUUCAUUCUGACAUAUUUUUCAACUGUUGACUUUUGUUUUUGAAAACAGACCUUUGCACUUAUACCUUAUCCAUCUGAAGCCCUUGAACCGCUUGGUCACAUUGACCUUUACUGUUACCCCGUUUCUAAUCGGUUGCUCGAAACCAAGCUCAUUUUAUUGGUAGUGAUAAUGAAACCACAGAAAACGUAUGGGUCUGGUUAUAACGCAGCUCUAGGGACUCAGCCUCGCAUGAAAUGCCACCGACCCCUCUCUAUGUGGUUAGCAGCCCUGGAAUCCGACUGACGCAAGCUUACCUGAAGCCGGUAGCUUUCCCCGAUCACUGAGGAAAUGACCAUGUCCAUUCCAUGCUCUAUCUGUCUUCUUAUCUUGGGGUGCCUUGUGUUCACGAGAAACGCGUACGUUCUUUCUGGGAAUUAGGAGGCACGAUUCAGACUGAGGUGCGCACGUGCGACAUCAACAUACUUCUCAGCAUUUGAUAAAGCAGAGACUCCCACCUUAUUUGGAGAUUUUAUUCAUUUUUGGCCUCCUCUGCAGCUCCCUCAGACCCUCACUGUAAGGCCUAACCAGAUUUCUAGAAAUGUUAUUCCUGAGAACCUUGGGGAUGCAAAGGAAGCUCUGGGUAACCGUAAAAGCCAGUUAGAAAAAUCAGCUCCAAGUCUACUCUGUCACUCUUGUCUCAAAAAAAUAAAAAAUACAAAAAAUAAGUCCCCUUCCCCGAUUAUCACAGAUGAGAACUGACUCCCACUGUGUGCAUCCGGCAUGGGGAGCUCACGUCACUAGGAAGAAAAUCCCUCCCACUGUUUAAAUAAUACGAUGUCUCUGCCCCCGGCAGGUGUAUCCUUGGUGGUGUGGUGCUGGUUUGUUUUGGGGUUCUUUCUUUCUUUCUUUCUUUCUUUCUUUCUUUCUUUCUUUCUUUCUUUCCUUAUGUCCACUUCUGCCCAAUCCUACACAAUCUAAGCAAAGAGAAAGUUGUUUCUUCAUUAGGAAAUUUGAAAUAUUAUGAACCAACGAUCUCGUAACUUUUCCAGUCCCCAGAAUCAAGCUCCUCGGCCUUAACAGUCAAGUGUUGUUUUCUAGACAGACACGUUACAUGGAUUCCCACUCUCUGUUCAAGGCCACGGACCAGCCAUUAUGUGAGUUUGAGAACUGAGUAUUUUGCAUUGGCUUUGGGAGUCAAACCUACGGUCCCUCAAUAAUUAGUCUUACAUCCCUCAGGAAUAUCAUUUGCGCUAACUUUUGCACUGAUUUUGUUCAUCUUAUUUUUUUUUUUACCCCUGUUUCCUUUCUCCCAAAUUGCCAUCUUGGGGGGCACUUUAAAUACAAAUGACCUUAUAUCCUCUUUGAGACAAGAGAUAAAGAAAGCAAGCAAGCUAUUUGAGACCUUGAACUAACUUUCACACAAACCAAACUAAGAUCUUUAGGUUCGUUAGAUGCUAAGGGCUACCGCACUCCACAGUCGUGCUGGCCUGGCAGGUUGCGCACUGCACAACUCUAGAGGGUGCCAUUCACAUUCAUAGACAUUGUCUAUUUGUACAGUUAUUAUGACAAACUUCUGGAAAGGAUUAGUAAAUGAUGUUGAGUUACUGGUGGCUUUUUCUAGUUUGCACAAAAGUGCAGCUUAGCACCAAGGUUAGACGUGUUACCUUACUUAUAACUUUCAUAAUUUAAACUUGACCAUCUCAAGCUUCUGUAUCACAGAAGCUCUUUUUUUCAUGGCUUUCCUUACAAUCGCACAGCACUGGGUUUCUGUACCUCCUUCCGGGAUAGUUGUCACACAACCGUAUACCUUUUACAGGCCACCCGCAAAUCCACAAACAUUUCCUGCACCACUCCCUGCUACUUUCAUUAGAAUGUAAAAAUGGAGAGGUCUCUUAUUCUUUCUUAAGAUUCCUCCUGAGAGAUCGACGCAGGAGGUGUACUUGAUAGGUCUGUGAAUUACAUUCCCCGAGAACUCUCCAGCUUUCUGGUCAUCAUCAAGCCAAAUAACAUCAGGGGCUCAGAUGCUCUAACAAGCGCUACUUGCUACCUUGUGUUCCGUUCCCAGCCCCUCCUGCCGAGAGAGCAUUGUGGCUGAAUUGUCAAGUGAGCGGAGAAUCUGAAUGAUUCCGAAGGAAAUGAACAGAGCAGCAGCUCUACGAAUCUGAAUGAGAAUGAAUGUUUGAGAGAGUCUAUUUGGAAUUUGCAGAUCACUUCUUAUUACUUUGGGCUCAUUUUAAGAACGCUAUUGAGAAGCAGGAUUAAGAAAUUCUGCCUCUAUCACCGAGCAUUAUGCCCAUGGCUUUCCCCACAGAACACUGUGCAGGAAGCAGGGAAGAUGGAGAUAUUUUCCUAUCGGAACGGGAAGUUAAUGGAGUUGUUAUCAGUAAAUCUGAUUUCUUGGAAGAAACGGUAAAGAGAUAUCCCUCCAGUCGAGAUUUGAAGGCCACAGCAUGAAACAUAAAAGCCUCUACAACAGCUCUUUAUCUUAGUUUUCUUAUCUGUUAAGUGGGUAUAAGCACCUUAUAGGUAGGAUGACUAUACAUCCUAGUCCCCCUGGGUUAGACCUUAGUCCCAGCAUAAUUAUUAACAGGACAUACUUUCAUGCUCGAAAAGGUUCCCGUUUGCAUGAAAGUCGUAUGGGGCUGUUGCGUCCAUCAAGGACAUGAGCCUAUGCCUCACGCACGUGAGUGUCUGGAAUGUGGCAGACAGUAUUAUAUAUCAUCAGCAGCGUUCCAGUCAUUUUUGCAACCCUCGUAGACUCAGAACCUGAUAGCACUUCCUGCCUAGACAGGAAGUACAAGACAAAAGCCCAGAGACAGAUGGCUUCUGCCCUAGGAUCAUGUAGAGGUUCUGCAGGCUGGUGUUGUGCUUCAGAUGGUCUAACGCACCAGGCUCCUUGCCCCCAGCGUUGUCACAAGCUGACAUCUACCCUGCCUACUCCGUGCACAACUUGUACCUCAUUAGCAUGCCACAGUCCACAGCCCCAGGAAGCAGCAUCAAACCCAAAAUAUUUAUAUACCUACCUUUUGAGGUGUCUUUUUUGGUCUGUACAUUAACAAAGAACAGCAUUGGCUUGCUCAAUAUAGUUUCCCUGUAGUCUUUAUAAUCGCAGUAGUUGGUCAGUUCCACAUACCUACGAAAAAAGCAGAGAUAAUUGCGAACGUAAUAUACCCUUCCAUCUAGGUCAGGAAGGGGAUGUUCUGGACGGGCGCCGGCCACGUCCACAGAACUUGUGAGGGAAAUAGCCUAACGUGUGCCCUCUGGAGGCAGUUAUCUUUUGUACGAUAUAAAUAAAUCUCCUCCCUAGUCAGCUGAGACAUCAGGACACAACCUGAGGGCGGCCCUGGUCUUUGGCGUGGCCUGGCACCAAUCCUGGGCUCUCAGAGGCAGCCUUCGCUAUGUGAUGGCCAACACCAUCUAUCUUUUGGGCUCUUAAGAGUUCACUGGAAGCUAGAAGUGCUCUGUCUCUCCGGACUGAGAAUGAAUUACACCCAAUUAGUGGGAUAAGCUAGGGUGGGUCUGAAAUUUCCCUCUUCUCCUCCUCCUGUCUUGCCUUCUCUGAUCCCUAGAUCCCAGCCCCCCUAUAGAUUAUGCAAUCAACCAACAGUCAUAUGAACUAAUUCAUGUGUCCCUGAUCCUGAGCUUUGUGCAAUGAAGAAAAACAAAAAAAUACCACUAAUGUUGGACUUUUGCCCAUGACCCUAUUCAGACUAGCCUCUUUGAUUUUCAUUCAUUACCCCAGCCUGGGAAGUUCUUCUUCACACGUUGACUCUGUCAUCCAGGAUGUCAGCUUUCUCCCCCUAUUCUACAGAUUUUCCAGGUAGUUUCUAUGUUUCUACCUGUAUUGUUGAUCGAAAGACGGAUCAAAGUGCAAACUGGCUUCCCUCGAGACGAUGGCUAAUUUUCCAUCCAUACCUCAGCUCAGACGCCACAUGGGCACAGGCAGGCUGAAUGGCAUCCAACAGGCUGGAGGAUGUGUCUGCCACCGUCCCUCUUCAACACAGAACUGGUUCCCCAUUGACCGGCCCAGCUGUGUGCAUGUGCAUGGAAUGAAUGGCCGCCCUGGCUGACAGCACAGGCCGAUUUUGCUACGCUGUGAUGUGUUUGCUUCCUACAUCUAGUCGCUGGCAGAGACAGCUCGAGUGUUCUUUCUGGCUUGUUGUCCGUCCAGUGCCUGAUGUGAAAAUCACAGCCUUGGAGAGAGCCCCACUGCAGGGAGCUGUGACCACCCAGCCCUAUUAGCCUCCCGCCCCACCCCACUUCCCAUAACCCGCUUAGGGGGGCCAGCGCACGAGACCCAGACCUGGGCAUGGGUUGGGAACACGUGGGAGAAUAUCUACCCCCAAGGCAGAAAAACACAGCUUUGGCUUGUCUGUCUCCCAGCUUGGUUUCUUAGAAAUCUGUAUCAUUCUCUCUUUUCUGGGGAUUGUCAGACCUGAUUUCGAGAGCUUUUAAAACCUGACCCCUGAUGGAGUCUCUAAAA